GUCUGGGCUGGGUGUGUGUGUGUGUGUGGGUGCAUGCACAUGUGUGUGUGGGAGUGUGGGCGGGUGGGUGCUCGUCUGUGCACGUGAGUGUGUGGGUGGUUGCGUGGGUGUUGGGGUGAGUGGGUGCAUGGUUCUCAGUGGCUGAGUGCACAUGUGACUACGUAAGUGUGUGUGUGUUAGUCUCUGUGUGUAUAGAAAAGGUGAAACGUGUGUGUGUAUAAGGCAUAGGUAUUUGUAUUUCAGAAUCUGAGCCUUUGUGUUUAAACGUUUUUUAAAAACUCAAACAAAUUCACAGACACAAUCUCUCAUACUUACCACUAAUAUACACACACACACGCGCGCACACACGCACACACACGCACACACACGCACACGCACACACACACACACAAUUUCACACUCAGCAUCGGGCGUUUGCCUGAUCUAGCUUCCUCCUUGCUUUGUGAGUAACCCGCAGCAAUAAAAUAAACACAAAUAUGUGAUAAUCACAUUCUUCACAUAGCUGGUGGGAAGUUUCGGCUGGUUCUCCACAAGAGGAGGGGUGUGUGCAUAUGUGUGUGUAUGUGUGUGUGCAUGUGUAUGUGUGCGUGUACUCGUGCGUGUGCUCGUGUGUGUGUGUGUGUGUCAUUCCUCUGUUCUCUGGAGGCCCCACAGAGAAAGAAAGAGUUAUGGAACAAAUAGGUCUCACACAUUACACAACAGUACCACCAAUACAAACCAUCAGCUCAGUUAUACUCCCAGUACAAACCAUCAUGUCAGAAAUCCUCCCAGUACAAACCACCAGGUCAGACAUCCUCCCAGUACAAAACAUCAGCUCAGAUAUCCUCCCAGUACAAACCAUCAGCUCAGAUAUCCUCCCAGUACAAACCAUCAGGUCAUAUAUCCUCCCAGUACAAACCAGAUAUACUCCCAGUACAAACCAGAUAUACUCCCAGUACAAACCAUCAGGUCAGGAAUCCUCCCAGUACAAACCACCAGGUCAGACAUCCUCCCAGUACAAAACAUCAGCUCAGAUAUCCUCCCAGUACAAACCAGAUAUACUCCCAGUACAAAACAGAUAUAAUCCCAGUACAAAACAGAUAUUCUCCCAGUACAAACCAUCAGGUCAGACAUACUCCCAGUACAAACCAUCAGGUCAGAUAUACUCCCAGUACAAACCAAUUAUACUCCCAGUACAAACCAUCAGGUCAGAUAUCCUCCCAGUACAAACCAUCAGGUCAGAUAUACUCCCAGUACAAACCAAUUAUACUCCCAGUACAAACCAUCAGGUCAGAUAUCCUCCCAGUACAAACCAUCAGGUCAGAAAUCCUCCCAGUACAAACCAUCAGGUCAGAUAUCAUCCCAGUACAAACCAGAUAUACUCCCAGUACAAACCAGAUAUACUCCCAGUACAAACCAAUAUACUCCCAGUACAAACCAGAUAUCAUCCCAGUACAAACCAGAUAUACUCCCAAUACAAACCAAAUACACUUCCAUUACAAACCAGAUAUACUUCCAGUACAAACCAGAUACACUUCCAAUACAAACCAGAUAUACUCCCAGUACAAACCAGAUACACUUCCAAUACAAGCCAGGUACACUUCCAGUACAAACCAGAUAUACUCCCAAUACAAACCAGAUACACUCCCAGUACAAACCAGAUACACUUCCAGUACAAACCAGAUAUACUCCCAAUACAAACCAGAUAUGCUCCCAGUACAAACCAGAUAUACUCCCAGUACAAACCAGAUAUACUCCCAGUACAAACCAGAUACACUUCCAGUACAAACCAGAUACACUUCCAAUACAAACCAGGUACACUUCCAAUACAAACCAGGUACACUUCCAGUACAAACCAGAUAUACUCCCUGUACAAGGCAGAUGCACUUCCAGUACAAACCAGAUAUACUCC
rnacentral:lncRNA from 1 species